rnacentral:tRNA from 1 species
GGGCUCGUGGUUCAGCGGUAGAACGCUUCGUUGACAUCGAAGAGGUCGAAGGUUCAACUCCUUCCGGGCCCA